rnacentral:rRNA from 1 species
AUUGAACGCUGGCGGCAGGCCUAACACAUGCAAGUCGAGCGGAGAGGCGGACGGGUGAGUAAUGCCUAGGAAUCUGCCUGGUAGUGGGGGAUAACGUCCGGAAACGGGCGCUAAUACCGCAUACUAUCAGAUGAGCCUAGGUCGUCUGAGCGAGUUGGUGGGUUAAAGGCCUAUCAAGGCGACGAUCCGUAACUGGUCUGAGAGGAUGAUCAGUCACGCUGGAACUGAGACACGGGCCAGGCUCCUACGGGAGGCAGCAGUGGGGAAUAUUGUGCAGUGGGCCAUAGCCUGAGCCAGCCAUGCCGCGUUUGUGAAUAAGGUCUUCGGAUUGUAAAGCACUGUAAGUUCGGAGGCGUUACCAUCAGAAUAAGCACCGGCUAACUUCGUGCCAGCAGCCGCGGUAAUUC